UGUCUGAGCAAUGGUGCUUCGCUUG
rnacentral:piRNA from 1 species